CGGGAGCGAGCGAGACGAAAACAAAGCGGCAGCGGCAUGCGUUUGCGUGUGCAAGAGAACGCGAGUGCGAGGGAGGCAGCAACAGCGACAGAGAGCGAGAAUGCAGUGGCAUUCGCUCUCAUCGUUCGCGUGUGUGUUUGUAAAAUGGUAACGAGCGGAGCGAAAGAAAGAAGAGAGUUAGCAAGCAAGGAGGAAGAAGAAGCACAUGAGCGGCGAGAGGAAGAGCGAGCAGAAGAGCGAGUGUAACUAUUCGCUCAUUUUUGCAAAAACCAAAAAAAAA